rnacentral:rRNA from 1 species
UGGGGAAUCUUGCGCAAUGGGCGAAAGCCUGACGCAGCCAUGCCGCGUGAGUGAUGAAGGCCUUAGGGUUGUAAAACUCUUUCACCGGGGACGAUAAUGACGGUACCCGGAGAAGAAGCCCCGGCUAACUUCGUGCCAGCAGCCGCGGUAAUACGAAGGGGGCUAGCGUUGCUCGGAAUUACUGGGCGUAAAGGGCGCGUAGGCGGAUCAGCAAGUUGGGGGUGAAAGCCCGGGGCUCAACCUCGGAAUUGCCUUCAAAACUGCUGAUCUAGAGUACGGGAGAGGUGUGUGGAACUCCGAGUGUAGAGGUGAAAUUCGUAGAUAUUCGGAAGAACACCAGUGGCGAAGGCGACACACUGGCCCGUUACUGACGCUGAGGCGCGAAAGCGUGGGGAGCAAACAGGAUUAGAUACCCUGGUAGUCCACGCUGUAAACGAUGAUUGCUAGUUGUCGGCAGGCAUGCCUGUCGGUGAC